ACGAACGCUGGCGGCGUGCUUAACACAUGCAAGUCGAACGGAAAGGCCCUGCUUUUGUGGGGUGCUCGAGUGGCGAACGGGUGAGUAACACGUGAGUAACCUGCCCUUGACUUUGGGAUAACUUCAGGAAACUGGGGCUAAUACCGGAUAGGAGCUCCUGCUGCAUGGUGGGGGUUGGAAAGUUUCGGCGGUUGGGGAUGGACUCGCGGCUUAUCAGCCUGUUGGUGGGGUAGUGGCUUACCAAGGCUUUGACGGGUAGCCGGCCUGAGAGGGUGACCGGCCACAUUGGGACUGAGAUACGGCCCAGACUCCUACGGGAGGCAGCAGUGAGGAAUAUUGCAAAAUGGGCGGAAGCCUGAUGCAGCAACGCAGCGUGCGGGAUGACGGCCUUCGGGUUGUAAACCGCUUUCGCCUGUGACGAAGCGUGAGUGACGGUAAUGGGUAAAGAAGCACCGGCUAACUACGUG
rnacentral:rRNA from 1 species